AGGUUUGUGGAGUGUUAGUAUCAUAGGUAAUGAGGUUUAUCCAAGGCUCAAUUAUUGUUAAUUGAAAACGUUCCAAUACUGUGAUGACAUGAAAUAUAGUCGGCUUUGGCAAUUUUUGACAGUCUCUAUGGAGA